rnacentral:rRNA from 1 species
UGGGGAAUAUUGGACAAUGGGCGGAAGCCUGAUCCAGCAACGCCGCGUGAGGGAUGACGGCCUUCGGGUUGUAAACCUCUUUCAGUACCGACGAAGCGAGAGUGACGGUAGGUACAGAAGAAGCACCGGCCAACUACGUGCCAGCAGCCGCGGUAAUACGUAGGCAGCGAGCGUUGUUCGGAGUUACUGGGCGUAAAGAGUGCGUAGGCGGUUUCGUAAGUCUGGUGUGAAAUCUCCUGGCUUAACUGGGAGGGUGCGCUAGAAACUGCGGAGCUGGAGUAUGGGAGGGGCAAGCGGAAUUCCUGGUGUAGCGGUGAAAUGCGUAGAUAUCAGGAGGAACACCUGCGGUGUAGACGGCUUGCUGGACCAUUACUGACGCUGAGGCACGAAAGCGUGGGGAGCAAA